rnacentral:rRNA from 1 species
GACUAACGCUGGCGGCGUGCCUAAUACAUGCAAGUCGAACGGGAUUCUUUGAUCAGCUUGCUGAGAGAAGGAUCUAGUGGCGGACGGGUGAGUAACGCGUGGGAAUCUGCCUCUUACUGGGGGAUAACAGUGGGAAACUACUGCUAAUACCGCAUAAGAUCUUCGGAUGAAAGGUGCAACUGCACCGGUAAGAGAUGAGCCCGCGUCCCAUUAGCUAGUUGGUGAGGUAAAGGCUCACCAAGGCGACGAUGGGUAGCCGGCCUGAGAGGGUGAACGGCCACACUGGGACUGAGACACGGCCCAGACUCCUACGGGAGGCAGCAGUAGGGAAUCUUCCGCAAUGGGCGCAAGCCUGACGGAGCGACGCCGCGUGAGUGAUGAAGGCCUUCGGUCGUAAGACUCUGUUCUUGUAGGACGGAAUAAAGACCACGGGAGGUGGGAAAGGACCCGUCGGUGGAUGACUGUACUCAAGGAGAAAGACUACCGGCUAACUACGUGCCACG